rnacentral:rRNA from 1 species
UGCGACCUCAGAUUAGGUGAGACUACCCGCUGAAUUUAAGCAUAUUAAUAAGCG